GUAAAACUUUUCUCAAAAAAAGAUUUAAAAGAAAUAAAUAUAAAUUCAUUAUAAAACACUCUAUAAUAGAAACCUAUAUAGGGCAAAAGCUGGCAAAAAGCGUGCCAGCCGCCGCGGUCAUACGAAUAGCUAUGAAAAUAUUUAAAAAUUAAGAAAAAAUUCAAAAUAAAAUCAAAAUUAAGAGUAAAAUCCCAAUUUUUUAACUUAUUAAUCGACAUUUGUUCAUAAAACAAACAAGGAUUAGAUACCCUUUUAUAAAAAAAAUCAGAUAGUAAAAAAAUAAUUUAAAAUCUAAAUAAAAUGGCGGUUUAAUAACUUUUUAGAGAAUCUUGUUCUAUAAUCGAUAACCCGCGAUUAAAAGUACUAGGAUUUUUACUUAUUAUAUCAUUGUAUAAAAACUUUUUCAAAUUAAAAAAACCUAAGUUAUAAAAUGUAAUUAAAACUACAAAUCAAGAUAAAAGAAAUAUCCAAGAAGUUAAUGAGAUGCCCAAUAAAUUUUUAGACAUAAAAAAAAAUAAUAAGUUAAAAAGGAUUUAAAAGUAAAAACAAAAAAAAACUUUUUUUUGAAAAAGAAAUAUUAAAUGCACAUAUCGCCCGUCACUCUUGCAAAAUUCAAGAUAAGUCGUAACAAAGUAGAUACAACUGAAGUUGUAUCUUG